rnacentral:rRNA from 1 species
CUCAGGAUGAACGCUAGCGACAGGCUUAACACAUGCAAGUCGAGGGGCAGCGAGGGCGUAGCAAUACGCCUGUCGGCGACCGGCGCACUGGUGAGUAACACGUAUGCGACCUGCCCCCUACAGGGGUAUAACCCGUAGAAAUGCGGACUAAUCCCCCAUAGUCCCGCGGGCUGCAUGGCCUGCGGGGGAAAGGGUUUCCGGUAGGGGAUGGGCAUGCGGCGCAUUAGCUAGUUGGCGGGGCAACGGCCCACCAAGGCGACGAUGCGUAGGGGUUCUGAGAGGAAGGUCCCCCACAUUGGAACUGAGACACGGUCCAAACUCCUACGGGAGGCAGCAGUGAGGAAUAUUGGUCAAUGGGCGAGAGCCCGAACCAGCCAAGUAGCGUGCAGGAUGACGGCCCUAUGGGUUGUAAACUGCUUUUAUAAGGGAAUAAAGUGGGUCACGUGUGACUUUUUGCAUGUACCUUAUGAAUAAGGACCGGCUAAUUCCGUG